rnacentral:rRNA from 1 species
GAUGAGCAUGCGUCCCAUUAGCUAGUUGGUGUGGUAACGGCACACCAAGGCAACGAUGGGUAGGGGUCCUGAGAGGGAGAUCCCCCACACUGGUACUGAGACACGGACCAGACUCCUACGGGAGGCAGCAGUGAGGAAUAUUGGUCAAUGGGCGCAAGCCUGAACCAGCCAUGCCGCGUGCAGGAUGACGGUCCUAUGGAUUGUAAACUGCUUUUGUACAGGAAGAAACACUCCCUCGUGAGGGAGCUUGACGGUACUGUAAGAAUAAGGAUCGGCUAACUCCGUGCCAGCAGCCGCGGUAAUACGGAGGAUCCAAGCGUUAUCCGGAAUCAUUGGGUUUAAAGGGUCCGUAGGCGGGUUUAUAAGUCAGUGGUGAAAGCCCACCGCUCAACGAUGGAACGGCCAUUGAUACUGUAGAUCUUGAAUUAUUAGGAAGUAACUAGAAUAUGUAGUGUAGCGGUG